GGCGCCGCUCUCGCGGCCGGUGGUGGAUGUGGGCGUGAGGAUGUCUGUCUCAAGAGGCUCGUAGUAGGUGCGGGGUUCCCGGUGAGCGCAGUGGGUCCUCGCCUCAUCCUCGAGAAGCGAUCGCGCGGUGGAUGUGAAAGGUGACCAAUGCGUAAACGAGAAGGGCACGGCGCUACGAAAGUUUAGUAGAAUUCAGGACCGAGGAGGUGGCUCCCCGGGCCAAGGCCCUGGCCGCCGAGCCUCAACAACGUGGGUUCGAUCCUGGGACCCACUUGGAGAGACCCGAUUUCCUCAAUAUGUCCUCUGACUUCACUACGACCUCAGUCGUGUACGCGCCACGCACAUACAAAACCGCAAAGGACAGACUAGAAUACACGCCGAAUACUGAUGGAUGAAAAGUGGAGGUGGUUCAAGGAGUGACAUCCUUUGUAAAGAAAGAGCCAGUGAAGAGGGAGAGUGGGAAGAAAAAAAAAAAAUCAAAUAUGGAGAAGGGGUACGGUAACGUUAAGACUGGAGAAUUGGCGCAACCUGGUUGCAUCUUCCAGUUAUUCUCACGGGUUUUUCUUUCAAUGAUUUUUUUCCGACCUGUGUUAAUGAUACCGAGGGCCGGACCCCCGGCCAGGGACUGCUGCAAGCGCUCCUUCACAGCUACCAGCUUGAGCUCCAGGUCGAUCCUCUGCUCUUCCUUGGCACGGCAUUGAGCUUCCAGAGUGGCCACGGCCUCUUCCAAGGCCUUCAACUUUGCUCCUGAGUCCAGAGACACGGACGAGAAAGUCUGCGGGGCUGCAGGCCCCACCCCCUCACCCCUUGCUGGAGUGUCCAGAAGGACUGGGUGAAGGCUUGUGCUGCAGCCUCUAUGUCACCACAAAGAGGAAGAGAAUGAAGUCACGUUUCCCUGUACUUCACUA
rnacentral:lncRNA from 1 species